GAUAUGAGGGUGACGGAAGAAAUUGCACAGCCCUCAUCCCCGGCUGUUCACCAUCUUGUGGUCCAAACUCGUUUUGUCAAGAGAGUGGUGGACUUUUCGUUUGUGAUUGUAAUGCUGGUUACCAAGGUGACGGAUACAACUGUGCAGAUGUCGAUGAGUGUGAAAGUCCUGAAGCAAACAGUUGUCAUCCGAACGCCUUGUGUACCAACACGGAAGGCUCUUAUGUAUGCCGUUGUCUAAGAGGCUACAAUGGCAAUGGAAGGAAUUGUACAGAUUACGACGAAUGCGCCAAUGAAGAUCAAAACGAAUGUGAUCCAAACGCAUUGUGUACCAACACUGAAGGAUCAUAUGUUUGUCGCUGCCUGAGAGGAUAUGAAGGCGCCGGGAGAAAUUGCACGGCUGUCACACCCGGCUGU